rnacentral:lncRNA from 1 species
UUGGUAAAGCUCUACUCGCCUCAAACACAAACUUCUCCAUUCAAACCACAGAAUGCACAUGGCUAAUGUGGAAAAUCAACAAAACCCCAAUCUGCUACUAUUAAUUGUUGCCGAGGUGUAGAAACAUAGUUACAAUGAGAUUGUUAAUGAUUACGGUGGAGAACAACUUCGUCAUGACCUUGUGGGAGGGGCAGUGGCAAUGUAGACGAAGCUGCGGCCGCUAGUGCGCACGAACUCGGAGCCGGUGACGCGGCCGAUGGAGCCGAACACGACCUCCAGAUCGACCACGGACAUGCUCUCCGCCAGCCCGACGACGUCCAACGAAAUGGACUAUCUGCAAAAGAAUUGAAAUGCAACAGUCAUAUGCAAAUAUAUUAGAUAAAAGACGACUGAGUUCCCAAUUAACAUUUGCACCACAUCAUAUGAAGCAUUGUGGUAUGAUCUAGCACCAAAUUUUGGAUUUCAAAAAAAGUUCGUGAAGAUGAACCUCAAGGACCAAAAGAUCGGCAUGGGCCCUCCACUGAUAUGUGCACUCUGUCAGGCGGUGUGUGCAGAGAAUGUGUAACCUUAGAGCUGCUGAGGCGGGAGGCACUACAGUCCAUCCGCGUCCACAAUAUCGGCCUUACUUCUACUCCAGCGCGAGCUCCAGUACGCAGGUGUGAGCAUGCCAAAGUAGGCUGAAAUUCCCAAUCCGAGAGGGCGAGGCCAUGGUCGCACUCUAGCGAUCCCUCACCACUCUUCCUGCCCCCUCUCUUCUUCUCGUUGCCUCUUCCUCCUCGUUUCCUUCUCCCAAUCCUCCUGCACUCUAUUGUAGGUGUAGUACUCUCUACUCUAUUUCUCGCCUCCUCCUCGUCGUUCUCUACCCUGUUCCCAAU